UACAGAGGUCCCAAGCGUUGUUCGGAUUUACUGGGCGUAAAGGGUGCGUAGGCGGUGGGGUAAGUUUGAGGUGAAAGCUCCGGGCUCAACCCGGAAAAUGCCUUGAAAACUAUCCGGCUAGAGGGUUGGAGGGGAGACUGGAAUUCUCGGUGUAGCAGUGAAAUGCGUAGAUCUCGAGAGGAACACCAGUGGCGAAGGCGGGUCUCUGGACAACACCUGACGCUGAGGCACGAAAGCGUGGGGAGCAAACAGG
rnacentral:rRNA from 1 species